GGCACAUUUCACGAAGCAAAACGCAGUCUUCAGAGAUCUCUACGUGAACACUGUGAUACGUCUGACCUUCAGUCCGAAGCAGAAACCCAGACCAGUCUUAAAAGAAAGCACAAACCAAAUCCCCUGUACACAUAUACGGACUCAGAGGAUGAGCACCAUACUCGAGCCCCUCGAGUGAAAAUACCAGCCCUCACCACUCCGCAGUCUGCCCCCCAGCCCACUGAUAGCAACCAUCAUAAUGCCCCACCCAGCUUCCGGCACCUUUCGCCACUCCGGCACAACACACAAACCAACACAGCUUUGCGAUCUCCCCAGCAUGCAGUCUGAUGUCGAUGUCUUCCCUAUAGAUG
ensembl:lncRNA